AACUAAAAACUCCAGGCCUACCCACUGCCAGGGGGUUUUCAAAGAAGAGACCCAUGCCUGGGUUCCCCAUGUGCAAGAUCUGCAGCUGUUCUUAGCAGCCAACAUCCAUCUCGGGGAUCUCGAGGGACACUGAGGGGUGCUGGGAUGACAGGCCUGUGGCAGCAUGUCUUGUUUCCAUGGUGAUGGAGACUGAACCCAGGGCUUUGUGCAUGCCAGGCAAGCACUCUUCCAUCUCUUCUUUCAGAGCUUUGGUUUACUUGUCUUGGACUUUACAGAUGGGACCAACAAUACAUCCCAUAAUGCAUGCAUGAACCCAGGACCACCUGCCCCAGGCUGUCACUGCCCAGAGUGGACUGGGCCCUCCUAUGUCAAUCAUUAAUCAAGAGAAGGAGCUUGGGGCUAUUUGGAGAAUUAAAUAUCCAAGUUGC
ensembl:antisense Gm11730 predicted gene 11730